AGAGUUUGAUCAUGGCUCAGAACGAACGCUGGCGGCGUGGAUAAGACAUGCAAGUCGAGCGAAGCACUGAGGGUAGCAAUAUUCGCAGUGUUUAGCGGCGAAAGGGUGCGUAACACGUGGGUAAUUUACCUUGAAGUUCGGGAUAACCUGUCGAAAGAUGAGCUAAUACCGAAUGUGACUCAGAUCAAGCAUUUUAUCUGAAUUAAAGUCGGGGACCGUAAGGCCUGACGCUUCUUGAUAAGCCCGCGGCCUAUCAGCUAGUUGGUGGGGUAACGGCUCACCAAGGCAAAGACGGGUAGCUGGUCUGAGAGGACGACCAGUCACACUGGAACUGAGACACGGUCCAGACACCUACGGGUGGCAGCAGUCGAGAAUCUUUCACAAUGGGGGAAACCCUGAUGGAGCGACGCCGCGUGGGGGAUGAAUGGCUUCGGCCCGUAAACCCCUGUCAUUUGUGAACAAACCUUUCUAGUUAACAUCUGGAAAGCUGAUAGUAGCAGAAGAGGAAGGGACGGCUAACUCUGUGCCAGCAGCCGCGGUAAUACAGAGGUCCCAAGCGUUGUUCGGAUUUACUGGGCGUAAAGGGUGCGUAGGUGGCAAGGAAAGUUUGAUGUGAAAUCUUCGAGCUUAACUCGAAAAUGGCAUUAAAUACUUCCUGGCUAGAGGGUUGGAGGGGGGACUGGAAUUCUCGGUGUAGCGGUGAAAUGCGUAGAUAUCGAGAGGAACACCAGUGGCGAAGGCGAGUCCCUGGACAACUCCUGACACUGAGGCACGAAAGCUAGGGUAGCAAACAGGAUUAGAUACCCUAGUAGUCC
rnacentral:rRNA from 1 species